CAGCAAGCAAGUGCUUACUGCAUUUUUUCUUACACAUGUGUUUUUCUUUUUUUGAAAACUUUGCUUUGGUAGGCCUUCUAUAUGGGGCCUGCCAGAGAUUAAACUCAACCAAAUUUUAUUUAAUGUCAACCGAUUAUUUAAUAGUCAAAACUUUCAACAACGGAUCUCUUGGUUCUCGCAUCGAUGAAGAACGCAGCGAAAUGCGAUAAGUAAUAUGAAUUGCAGAUAUUCGUGAAUCAUCGAAUCUUUGAACGCACAUUGCGCCCUUUGGUAUUCCAAAGGGCAUGCCUGUUUGAGCGUCAUUUCUCCCUCAAACCCUCGGGUUUGGUGUUGAGCGAUACGCUGGGUUUGCUUGAAAGAAAGGCGGAGUAUAAACUAAUGGAUAGGUUUUUUCCACUCAUUGGUACAAACUCCAAAACUUCUUCCAAAUUCGACCUCAAAUCAGGUAGGACUACCCGCUGAACUUAAGCAUAUCAAUAAGCGGAGGAA
rnacentral:rRNA from 1 species